GUGUCAGCCGCCGCGGUAAUACGGAGGAUCCGAGCGUUAUCCCGAUUUAUUGGGUUUAAAGGGUGCGUAGGCGGACUGAUAAGUCAGCUGUGAAAGUUUACGGCUCAACCGUGAAAUUGCAGUUGAUACUGUUAGUCUUGAGUAUACAUGAGGUGGGCGGAAUUUGUGGUGUAGCGGUGAAAUGCUUAGAUAUCACAAAGAACUCCAAUUGCGAAGGCAGCUCACUGGGGUAUAACUGACGCUGAGGCACGAAGGUGUGGGUAUCAAACAGGAUUAGAAACCCCAGUAGUCC
rnacentral:rRNA from 1 species